ACGACCUUACUUGAACAGGAUCUGUUCUAUAGGAUCGUACUGUUGCAUCUUUGAUUAAUAAGAAGGCAAGUACUUAAACCUGGUUGAUGAGAAUUUGACCUGUGGGCCAGAGCGUGAUUUAACGGCCAGGACUUUGCCUUGGUGCAUUGUCUGGAGCUGCAGAUGAUCGUUCUUGGCCAGGCUUAAUGUCUGGCUAGGGUGGCCUACAGGCUGUUUGACAGGUU
rnacentral:snoRNA from 1 species